GAAGGUUUGAGGGAGGCGACUCUCCGCAAUGAGUGGACCACGUUUCCUGUCAGCCCUACUUGCACUAAGCAGUGGCGGAGCGUUGGGAGGUUUGGAUGUUUGGGUAAUGGUCAUUAUCACAUGCAGGCGGUGGACAUAACUGGACCCACCAGAGCAUUUCUUGUCAAUUUGCAUUUUCAUUUUCCUUGCUAACUGACUGUUCUUAUCAGAUGUAUACACGAGGAGGUUGGAAAAAGGAAGGAAUGAGUGGAUGACGGAAAGAUGAUAUCCGACUGACCAUCUGAUAAACAUUGCCCCAGUGUGCGCUACUUUAUGUUGUCCGUUGAAAAUAGGAUUGGAAGAAACGAAAGUUGUGUUUCAUAUCAGGUUCUUUUUUCUGCUGGAAGGAGAGGGGUGGGUGUGGUGAACGAGUAUAAUAUGGGAAUAAAAAUCUCCCCUCUCGUAUACUACUAUUACUUAAAAAAAUAAAUAAAAAUAAUAAUAAUUGUAUAGCGUGUUUCUCCAGCAUCUGCCAGACUCAAAGCUUUUAGGAAAAAGGCUGUCAAAUGACAGGAGGUUAAAUGUUGCUGCACUGCUUGCACAAAACCAGCGCCGAUUACAGCAAAAACAGUCUCUGGGUAGGAUGAUUGAUAAAGGGUCUCAUGGGAUAUUCUUUGGGGCUGUUGUUGUCUAAAGAACUAAAGAGUUGUUUUC